rnacentral:rRNA from 1 species
UGAAUGCUGGCGGCGUGCUUAACACAUGCAAGUCGAACGGGAAAUAUUUCAUUGAGACUUCGGUGGAUUUGAUCUAUUUCUAGUGGCGGACGGGUGAGUAACGCGUGGGUAACCUGCCUUAUACAGGGGGAUAACAGUCAGAAAUGGCUGCUAAUACCGCAUAAGCGCACAGAGCUGCAUGGCUCAGUGUGAAAAACUCCGGUGGUAUAAGAUGGACCCGCGUUGGAUUAGCUUGUUGGCAGGGUAACGGCCUACCAAGGCGACGAUCCAUAGCCGGCCUGAGAGGGUGAACGGCCACAUUGGGACUGAGACACGGCCCAGACUCCUACGGGAGGCAGCAGUGGGGAAUUUUGGACAAUGGGCGCAAGCCUGAUCCAGCUAUUCCGCGUGUGGGAUGAAGGCCCUCGGGUUGUAAACCACUUUUGUAGAGAACGAAAAGACAUCUUCGAAUAAAGGAUGUUGCUGACGGUACUCUAAGAAUAAGCACCGGCUAACUACGUGCCAGCAGCCGCGGUAAUACGUAGGGUGCGAGCGUUAAUCGGAAUUACUGGGCGUAAAGGGUGCGCAGGCGGUUGAGUAAGACAGAUGUGAAAUCCCCGAGCUUAACUCGGGAAUGGCAUAUGUGACUGCUCGACUAGAGUGUGUCAGAGGGAGGUGGAAUUCCACGUGUAGCAGUGAAAUGCGUAGAUAUGUGGAAGAACACCGAUGGCGAAGGCAGCCUCCUGGGACAUAACUGACGCUCAGGCACGAAAGCGUGGGGAGCAAACAGGAUUAGAUACCCUGGUAGUCCACGCCCUAAACG